GCCGCGCCCGCGCGCGCGCCGCCCGCCGCCGCGCCGCCCGCGCCGCCGCCGGCGCUCGCCGUCAGGAUAUUCUAUCAGGCGAGCUGCGCACCAGACAGCGCGGUGCUAGUGGACGCGAUGCGCGCGGCGGCGGCCAGUGCCGGUAUGGGUACGGGUGCCGGUACGGGUGCGGGUGUCGGUACGGGUGCGGGUGCCGGUACGGGUGCGGGUGCCGGUACGGAUACCGGUCCCGGUACAGAAGCCGGUUCGGGGGCGCGCGUGUCGUGGACCGCGGUGCCGGUGCGCGCGCUGCACCACGCCUACUGCUUCCUGUCCAUCAGCGGCCUGCGCCUCGACGAGUGAACGGUACCCCAAAAAAGAAUUUCAAUGCAGAUGCUUUAUUGCCGUUUUAAUAUAUUUGCUGAAUAUUUUCAGUGUUUAUAAGAUUUUGUUAAUUAUGCUAACGAGUUUACUGUAUUUAAGUCAAAAUAUAUAAAUUAUUUUUAUUGCA